rnacentral:rRNA from 1 species
GAUGAACGCUGGCGGCGUGCCUAAUACAUGCAAGUCGAACGAAUCUCUUUUAGAGAUGAGUGGCGAACGGGUGAGUAAUACAUAGGUAACCUGCCCCUGUGCGGGGGAUAACAGGAGGAAACUCCUGCUAAUACCGCAUAGCCAUGAGCACCGCAUGGAGCUCAUGCCAAAUAUCCUUUAUGGGAUAGCGCAGGGAUGGACCUAUGGCGCAUUAGCUGGUUGGCGGGGCAACGGCCCACCAAGGCAACGAUGCGUAGCCGGCCUGAGAGGGCGGACGGCCACAUUGGGACUGAGACACGGCCCAGACUCCUACGGGAGGCAGCAGUAGGGAAUUUUCGGCAAUGGGGGAAACCCUGACCGAGCAACGCCGCGUGAGCGAAGAAGGCCUUCGGGUCGUAAAGCUCUGUUGUAAAGGAAGAACGGCGCAUACAGGAAAUGGUAUGCGAGUGACGGUACUUUACCAGAAAGCCACGGCUAACUACGUGCCAGCAGCCGCGGUAAUACGUAGGUGGCGAGCGUUAUCCGGAAUCAUUGGGCGUAAAGAGGGAGCAGGCGGCCGCAAGGGUCUGUGGUGAAAGACCGAAGCUAAACUUCGGUAAGCCAUGGAAACCGGGCGGCUAGAGUGCGGAAGAGGAUCGUGGAAUUCCAUGUGUAGCGGUGAAAUGCGUAGAUAUAUGGAGGAACACCAGUGGCGAAGGCGACGGUCUGGGCCGCAACUGACGCUCAUUCCCGAAAGCGUGGGGAGCAAAUAGGAUUAGAUACCCUAGUAGUCCACGCCGUAAACGAUGGUCACUAAGUGUCGGGGGUCAAACCCCGGUGCUGCAGUCAACGCAAUAAGUGACCCGCCUGAGUAGUACGUUCGCAAGAAUGAAACUCAAAGGAAUUGACGGA